rnacentral:rRNA from 1 species
UCUUCUGGAUGAGUUGCGAACGGGUGAGUAACGCGUAGGUAACCUGCCUGGUAGCGGGGGAUAACUAUUGGAAACGAUAGCUAAUACCGCAUAAGAGUAGAUGUUGCAUGACAUUUACUUAAAAGGUGCAAUUGCAUCACUACCAGAUGGACCUGCGUUGUAUUAGCUAGUUGGUGGGGUAACGGCUCACCAAGGCGACGAUACAUAGCCGACCUGAGAGGGUGAUCGGCCACACUGGGACUGAGACACGGCCCAGACUCCUACGGGAGGCAGCAGUAGGGAAUCUUCGGCAAUGGACGGAAGUCUGACCGAGCAACGCCGCGUGAGUGAAGAAGGUUUUCGGAUCGUAAAGCUCUGUUGUAAGAGAAGAACGAGUGUGAGAGUGGAAAGUUCACACUGUGACGGUAUCUUACCAGAAAGGGACGGCUAACUACGUGCCAGCAGCCGCGGUAAUACGUAGGUCCCGAGCGUUGUCCGGAUUUAUUGGGCGUAAAGCGAGCGCAGGCGGUUAGAUAAGUCUGAAGUUAAAGGCUGUGGCUUAACCAUAGUACGCUUUGGAAACUGUUUAACUUGAGUGCAAGAGGGGAGAGUGGAAUUCCAUGUGUAGCGGUGAAAUGCGUAGAUAUAUGGAGGAACACCGGUGGCGAAAGCGGCUCUCUGGCUUGUAACUGACGCUGAGGCUCGAAAGCGUG